rnacentral:rRNA from 1 species
UACGGGGGGAGCAAGCGUUGUUCGGAUUUACUGGGCGUAAAGGGCGCGUAGGCGGUCAGCACAAGUCAGUUGUGAAAUCUCCGGGCUUAACUCGGAAAGGUCAACUGAUACUGUGCGACUAGAGUGCAGAAGGGGCAACUGGAAUUCCAGGUGUAGCGGUGAAAUGACGUAGAGAUCUGGAGGAACACCGAUGGCGAAGGC